rnacentral:misc_RNA from 1 species
GGGAGAGUCUUCACUGUUGAACUGUUCCUUUAUUAAUUCGGUUGGAAUUGGAUUUUGACGCACGAUCCAAAAUGAUGGCACCACUUCAUCUGCGUAAAAUUUUCAUUGGCGGGCUGGACUACAGCACCUCAAGUGAUGUUCUCAAGCAGCAUUUUUCAGCUUAUGGCGAUGUAGUUGAUGCUGUAGUUAUGAAAGACCAUUCUCUCAACAGGUCUCGGGGAUUUGGUUUUGUUACAUUUACCAAUGCAGAUCAUGUGGAUGCUGUUCAAAGAGCUCGGCCACAUAGAGUAGAUGGCAGAGUUGUGGAGACCAAACGAGCUAUGCCACGCAUGGAAACGACUAAUCUACCUUCAAAAAACUCUACUUCAGAAGGCUCAAACAAUAGACUCUUUAUUGGAGGCUUACCGCAGGACGCCAAAGAAGCUGAUAUUCAACAGUGCUUUGAGAAGUUCGGUCAGAUCACCUGUGUGAACAUCAUGUAUGACAGCUCCAGUGGACGGCAUCGAGGAUUUGCAUUCAUUGAUUUUAAUGACUAUGAUCCUGUUGACAAAAUUCUGUUGACCAGACAUCACGUUAUAAAAGGGAGAUCAAUAGAUGUUAAAAAGGCGAUCAGCAAAGCAGACAUUAACAAAUUGAAGAAUUUUUCCUCUGGUAAUGCGACGGAUGCUCAAGCUAUGCUGCACACAUUAUUGCAAAGCGCGGCCUCACUGCCGGCUCAGGCGUCAACUCUACUGCAUCCACAUGCUACUGCUACUGCGUCCAUACGUCUCCGUACUGCCGCAACUCGACCACAUUUUCCUACAGCUAAUACAGUUCCAAUUCGCGUUCCUGCGAAUGCCAUUCCAACCUUUGCACAUAAUAAUGUCACUUCCCCAUUCAGUUCAGGGAUUCAACCACAACUGAACUCAUUUAACGCAAGCAAUAAUAUACUUGGUGCUGGAAGGCAACAGCAACAAAACCCUAAUAACCAUGGUUGGCAGUACAGCGUUAGCAGCACAGCUGAGGUGCUACGAUGUAACGCCGGCUCAAGAGCUAGAGCUGGAAGCAAUGGCAGCAUUGAAACGCUAAAUAACCAGGAAACCAGUUCUAAUAUAAGUUCUGGGAAAGACCAAGUUCAUGACCAACUAAAUCCUGAAUUGAUUCAAAAUAUAUCAAAUCAUGAAACAUCUAGAAACGUUGCAACUCUGAAUAAUCACUCUAGUACAAAAAAUUACGCUAAUGCUGAAGUAUGGCAAAGCAAUGCUAACUGUGACGUGUGGCGCAACAAAAGCCAAGACGAUAAAAUUUCAAGUAGUACGAGUGCGAUGCUCACAGGUAUUAAAAGUGAGCCUCAUCCUGGAAUUUCUACUUCAUCACUAGGGAUCGCAAUCAAAUGCGAGGAUGCACCAAUGUCUGACGAUGGAAUGUCCAGCGAUGCCAGUCGUAUUAUCAACGGUACUGGAGAUAUGGGCCCUACCGACGCUUGUAGCAACAGCAUACAAUUUAACGGAAGAACGCAUGAUGAGGCAAAUUCUUCCAAUUUCAAUGCAAGAACAACUGAUGGGAAUUCAACACAAUCCUCUUCUGUAAACGAGUCUCUUCAAAACGGAUCCUUGGAUAUGUGUCCACCCAAUGCUCAUUUACUCUUCAUUGAACCCUUCUGUGGUGGAUCUCAUAAGCAGCUUCUGCAGACUAUUUUAUCUACAUCUGGACUCACACCUCCCGAUGCGGCCGCAGUUUUCACCUUGCCAGCCAAGAAGUGGCAUUGGCGCGCCCGCACCUCAGCCCUCAACUUCAGCCAAAGUAUCCCGUCUACGCACCUAUUCAGGGUAUUAUUUUGCUCAGCAACGUUGAACUUGUGUGAGCUGAUAGGACUGAGACCAGACCUCGCUCCUCUGCGCAAAAUCAUCUACUUCCACGAGAACCAACUCGUCUAUCCUGUACGCGACACCAAAGAAAGGGACUUCCAGUACGGCUACAAUCAAAUUCUCUCAGCGCUGGUAGCAGACCGCGUUGUCUUCAACUCCCAGUACAACCUCGAGUCGUUCAUCAGGGAAGUGCCACGUCAUCUCAACCUACAGAAGGACUGUCGGUCCGACACAAGCACCAUCACGGCUAGUAUACGAGCUAAAAGUCAGGUAUUAUAUUUUCCUGUCGAGAUAACAAGACUACCGCGCCCCAGAAAAGACGCCUUAGAGCCACUGCACAUCAUAUGGCCUCACAGAUGGGAACACGACAAGGACCCGGAAACGUUUUUCCAAGUUUUGUUCCAGCUGGCAGAACUUCAGUUGAACUUCCGUGUGUCUGUUCUGGGCGAGAACUUCUCUCAAACUCCCAGCAUAUUUGAGGAAGCCUUCCAUCGCCUCAAGAACUUCAUCGUCAACUGGGGUUAUGCGCAGACUAGGGAUAAGUAUUGGGAAAUACUGCACUCGGGUGACGUUGUGGUGUCGACCGCUCAUCACGAGUUCUUUGGGGUUGCCAUGCUGGAGGCUGUGGGCGCAGGCUGCCUCCCACUCUGUCCCAAUCGUCUUGUUUAUCCAGAAAUUUACCCAAAAGAGUGUUUGUACAACACGCAGCAGCAGCUGGUCAAAGCGCUGGCUAACUUCUGCCGUUCCCCUCACCAUCUGCGCUCCGCGCUGCGACCAUCUCUGGAUCUGAAUAAUUUCAGCUGGUCUACUCUAAGACCUCAGUACGCUCGCCUUCUCGAUCUUGCCGACUGAAAUUUAUAGGAACCUGGUAUGGAACAUGUGCCUACUGACACAUUCUAGGAACAUGUGUCUACCGACACAUGUUUUUCGAGCAUCUGUGAACGUGGGCAGCAUAAAAGACGUAAUUUAUGAUGGUUUCUAGCAGUUGGGAAAUUGAAUGCGUCUGCUCUGAACAUGUAAUGAAUUAUUGAACAGGUAAUGAAUGAUUUCGUUUGCCAAACUGAAAUGAUAGAUUCAAUUGAUUUAGUUCGGUUUUGAUUAAACUGAGCCCUGGACUAAAGGGCAUCUAUUCCUUAUGUUAUUUUUCGCUCAGACGUUCGUCGUCAAAUGCAAUUUUUUGUCAUCAAAUGCUACGGUUAAUAGCUCAUACUAAGGUCGGGUAUCAUUGUUAAUUUUAUAAAUAUCUAAGUAGAAAGGAGAGUGGCCUGUAGUAGGUAUUGUAGGUAACUUAGUCUGUCUGAUGUCGUCAAGUAGUUAGUGACUAUCACGUCUUGAAGUUGAAAAUUACUAUUUCCGUCUCGAAGUUGCCGUUGACUCGAGUAUCUUGUAGCUGUUGCUUGGUGGUUUAUCUCAUAGCUGUUGCUAGGUGGUUUAUCUCAUAGCUGUUGCUAGGUGGUUUAUCUCAUAGCUGUUGCUAGGUGGUUUAUCUCGUAGCUGUUGCUAGGUGGUUUAUCUCGUAGCUGUUGCUAGGUGGUUUAUCUCGUAGCUGUUGCCAGAUGGUUUAUCUCGUAGCUGUUGCUAGGUGGUUUAUCUCGUAGCUGUUGCUAGGUUGUUCAGUUCAGUUUGCUGGGUGAUGUCUUGCCGUAAAAUUAAUGGUUAGAUUUCCAGCCGUAAUUGGUGGGGUUAUUCCUACCGUAGUAGAAAUUAACUAAAAGGCCAUCACGUAGCUAUAGUUUAUUGGACCAUCAUGUAGCUUUAGUUGAUAGGGCCAGCAUGUUGCUAUAGGUGAUUAGACUAUAAUGUAGUUUUAGCUGAUGGGCCAAACAUGUAGCCAAAAUUGGUUGGGCUAUCAUGUAGCUGUAGUUCUUUGAGCUAUUUGUAGUUGUAGUUGAUAGGGGGCAAACGUGUAGCCAUAGUUGUUGGGCUAGCAUGUUGCUAUAAUUGAUUGGGCUAUAAUGCAGUCGUAGUUGUUAGGGCUUGGAUUUUGCCAAAGUUAGUAGGGCUAGCAUGUUGCCAUUGUUGUUUGGGCUGUCGUGUGGCCCUAGUUUAAUGAGCUAUCAUGUAGCCAAAGUUGGAUAGCCUAUCAGGUAGCUAUGGUUGAUUGACUAUCAUGUGGCCUUGUCCGGUUAGACUAUCGUGUAGCUGAAUUUGAAUGGGGGCCAUCAUGUCGUUGUAUCUGAAUCAACUAUCAUACAUCUGUACUUCAACGGGCGACCAUUUAUCUGUUUGAAUUGGCUAUUAUUUAUACGUAUUUGGAUGGGUUAUCAUGUAGCUGUAAUUGGGUGGGCCAUCAUGUAGCUUUAGCAUAAUUAGCGAUUAUGAAGUUGCAGUUCAAUGGCUUACUUUCUUUUUGCCGAGGUUUAUAGGUCGAUUUCAUAGCCGCCGCAGGUGGCUCAAUUUUGUCGAUCUCACGAGUUUCUCUGUGGAAAAUGUAACAUCCAUCAGCUUGGUGAACGUUUUGAAAUGCCUGAGAUGGUCAUGUAGUUCUGACCGCCCCUGAAAUGUGUUCGUACAGAAUCUCAAUACUAACCUUAAAAUCCUUGGUAAAUCUUUGCCAUCAGGCACUAUUCGUUUCUAAUGCAGAGACUAUUGUGUCUUUGAAUUGUAUUUUUUUUUGUUUAAUAAACUUUUUCAAAUAAUAUCUUAAUCGGUUCCUUACGUCCAGUUAACGUAUUGCUAUUCGUAACGCGACAUAUCUAAACAAGGCAUGAGCUAAAUUUCCUCUACCAUGCAUAAUUAAAAGGACUUACAGAGCCUGGCUUCUGUCCAAACAAUCGGCGAGUACUUCAAGAAACAGUCAAUGCCUGCAUCAUUUUUUUAUGUUGAAUUUCUAAAUCUGAGAUUCGAUCAAUAUAAUUUUUUCUGGUCAAUUUUUUCCUGAUAGGACAUUGUAAAAUCAACUGCCAGUGCUUUCAAUUGGGAGAAAAUAUUUAUUUUCUGAAUACGCGGAUAGCUUGCUUUCGCCUUUCAGGAUGCCAAGUAAUUUGCAUUAAUGAUGUAAAUGAUUUGGCGUGUUGCAGCUCCACAAUUUUUCCAAUGGCCUUCUUAAAAACUAUGUUUUUCUCAGGCAGACGUUUUUCAUGAACUAAAAAGUUUCAGUAACGCCCUCCGAAAGUCUUACCGGAAAGGAUACAAAAAUUUUUCACUUUUGCCUUCAAUUAACUCCCUGUUAUGUUAUCCAUGUUAAUUUGAGGCACAUCGGGCUUAAAUUUAAUCACGGACAAGCGGUUAGAUAUAUAAAAGAAUGUCGGGCCCAGACGAAGUGGGAUUGCAAAAAUACUGUCCUGUUAUUGGAAAAGAAUGAAUGCUAUAAAUACUGAAAGAUUGGCGCCAUAUAUUUUUCAUUGACUGGUCUUAUGACCAACCCUGUAUAUAUAGAUCAGUCGCCA